GGAGUUUCGGGAAGAGGGCGGUGUCAUCUGGACGACGUCGGGUGAUGAGUGACCGUAGGGCGCGAAUCAGACCCUCCUGGAGUUGCUCCACAGCCCACAUGUCUGAGAUGCCAGAACGGUCUGAGGAGUACAGAGGAUACCAGUAGACCAGCACCACAGCCAUGAAGAGAGCCAUUUCAUCAGGCUCUAGUCCCAGGGAGCCCAACUUCUCACUGAACUCAAACAUUGCAUCCAGCAGGGAGCCCAUGCCCAAAGCCCGCAGGGUAGACAGAGGGCGGCAUCAACACAGGAGCGUCCGUGAGAGCGCUGAAGCGGCGGGAGGGCGGGGAGGAGGGCCCGGGUAUCUCACGCGUCGCACGCGGCUCUGCAAGGGAGGCCACGUGAGGAGGCUUUUGACGGAGCUUUCACUGGGAAGACAUGAAGCCGCGCUCCAGCCAGGAGCCAGAGCUUCCUACAGUCCGCCAGGGGCUUAUAAUUAAAGAGCCAAAUUAAAUAGACCGGCAUGCUAUGCGCCGGGGUGGUCUGACUGUGCACCACCAGCAGCACAGCCUGCACUGUCAGCCAGGCGCUGCAUCUAGUUUAUGAACAGUAGGGUGAAAUUUAUGUGUCAGCAUGUGGCCAGACCCGAAUUUAUAUUGUGAACAAAUGUAUAAGAUGAUAAAAUUACUCUUACACCACUUAAUUUCACAGUGAUUUAUAGCCUAGUAUAUCUAUAUACCACUAAAUUGUCUUCUUAAAGUCUGUUUUGGUAAUGAUACAGUUAAAUUAGAUUUGUAACACAAGCCAGUUAUAGGCUAUCUCUCAGUUUCUCCCAUUCAGAGACUGAGUGAUGUCAAUAAGCCUCACAUUGCAUAUCCUGCUUGCAAUCCAGGAAAAAGACACUCAUAUUUUUCUGGACUCACGUGUCUGUUUGGGUUUCUUUUUUUCCCCUCUAUUUUAAUAUUUUCAUUGCCCAUAUUUUCUGGAGAUGCUGUUUGAGCUUUUGAUAUGAAAUAACUAGUAAUUUGAAAUGAUUUAUCACUUUUUUCCAUCAAACUAAUGUGGUUAGGUUAUACCACGUAGCUUAUAAUAUUGCAGGUUAUAAUAUUAUGUCUGACUUAAUGGGAUUGAUUUUGAUGUUGGCUCCUACUAAUGAGUUUUUCCUGAAAGUUUUGCUCAGCCCAGUAAAACUUGGAACCAAAGCAAUGAUGGUUUUCAACUGAUGGUGUGGAGUUAGUGGUCUGUGUUGGUUUAAACAGGCUGAGAUUAAUGCAGAAAACCUCCACCAGGGGAGUGUCAGAGGAAGUUUUAGUGACAGAGCACAGUGCAUGAAGUUAUGCACUGGACAGUGGGUAAAGUCUGCUUUUAUCAUAUACAUUAAUCACCAUUGGACAGCUAUAUGUGAUCUACUGUGAUAGCAUACUAAUACCAUCAUAGUGCUGGUGAGCACAUUAAAGUCAGUGUCAAGGAAGACUACAUAUUCACAGUGUUGCAGCUGACACCCACAUGAUAGAACAGUUGACCUUUGGCAUGAGGUCAAGGUUGCACAAGUUGAUUUAGGUAUUGGUUCUGGCAAAUAUUCCUUAAUGCAUGUUGGAAGAUGUAUUGUGCAUUUUCAAACAUUAGGUUUGACUGAGUUUUGAUGAUAUAGGUGAUACAAACAAUGUUACAACAUACAUAUUAGACUGAGUGUUAUUUAUCUGUAUAUAUGAUCUAUAUGGGCCCAUUUUGUGAUGCAGCAUAUAAGACAUGCAACACCCCCAACCCAAUCAUAUCUGCGGGUGAACACACACACACACACAAACACAAUCUCAUUUUAUCUGCCGGACUUUAUGAGCCUCGCAGCUCACCACUGCGGCCAUAUUUUUUACCAGGUUAUGAUGAUGUUUAUGAGCUUUGUUUAGAUCACACUGAACUCAUGAGUGAAAUGAAGUCAUGUGCAUUCCAAUAACCUCAUUGAAAUAUUAAAGGUCAACGGACCCAGUUCAAGGUGGUCACUUGCAUUUGGAUGGAUGAGAGGAGGAAGAAAAAUUAUGGAAAGUUAAAAGAUGUGCUGUUAUUUGAAUUAAAAAAAGCAAUUACAUAAACUGAAAAAAUAAACUAAACAUAAAUAAACGAUUUAAUAAACAAAUAAAAACUUGGAAAUGCCAGCCCUCACUCUCACACACACAAACACCAAACAUCCAGACAUCAAUAAACCACCAACAGAAAAGCCCAGCACACAGCCCUCAUCUUUAUUGUCUAAUAAUACUACAGCUAUUAUCUAUGAUUACACAUUUAACUGCCUUGUUUGUGUCGUGAAAAACACUGGCCCACUUAAUCAACAUAAAUAUAGAGUCAUAACCCGGUUUGUUGGUUUAGUGUUGCCUUCAGACUGGAGUAACAUGUUGACGGAGCACAGGGUGCGCCCAUCACCUGUGCUGGAACGUGACCGUGGCUGUUGUAAAUGAUUCACCGUCAAUUAGAAGAGCAAAGCAGAAAGCAUGUGCACCUUUGGCUGACCUCGAGAAACCGCUGCCUAAUACCACUUAACGGAUGGACGUCCUGCAGUUAUCAACUUUUAUUUGCAACGGUGGCCUUGAUAACAGAAAACAAACACGCCCACUAUAUAGCUACGCCAGAGUUUCCUUGUCCCCCCCCCCCGCGUGAAAUGGCAGAGGGCUUAGUGCGCCGUUAUGGCUCUGUGGCUCUGACAGAUUAUGAUUACAGUGACAGCCAGUGUGCUGUAGCUCCACGUGAGUUUGUUUUCAUGAAGACAGGAAGUAGCCAGUCCCACUAUAAACCAUAUGGCGCGGGUCGUUGGAGCUGCAGUCCAGGCGCUGCGUUUUGACAUUAAAACGCAAUGCAGCAACUUUCCCUCUACAACUUUGCGUUAAGUGUUGCAGUUACACUUAUACUCAACAUAGAAACAAGCUUAAGCGAUCAAAUGUCGAAAGAGCGACUCGUGCAUGAACCUAAUAUUCCCAAUCAGUGGUUAAAAAAAACAAACUAUAAAAUUACUCAUCUCAGUUAGUACACUGUAAAAUUAGAAUGCAAAAGUGAUGUUUGGUGCACUUAAUUGUGCAUGUGACACACAUGAAAUUGCAAACAUAUUGUCAACUAUACACAUAUUAGAAGAAAUUCAUCCGUAUUAAAUUUAAAGUCAGAUUUAUUUUUGUUUUAAUGAUAAACUCAAACAGCGUUAAAUUACUUUAGCCAUUUGAACGUUGGGAUCAACAUGAAUGAAGCAGUGACUAAAUCAAUCAAUUCUGACUCUUAUGUCAUAAUCAAAUGGAGCGGUGGCUACAAGUUAACAUAAUGUUAAAGUUGA